CGAACAUGGUUAUGAGGAGGAUGACGGCAAACCCGGUGAGGAGCCCGGCGUUCUGGAUGAGGAAGAACACCACAUCUGUCUUCAUGCUCUGUCGAUGCUCCUUAGCGAUGGCGUUCAUUUCAGGGAACUGAGAGAAAUUCAUGAGGGAACUCCUCGCACACAAUGGCGAUGGAGGUGCUAAAGCCAGUGAGUAUGGAGACGGAGAAGGACGCUCCGAUGGCCAGGCCGUCAAUGAAGUUGUGAAGGGCGUCGCUAAGCGUGAUCAUCCAUGCCAGCGUUUUCACGUUUGCCAGCCGUGCACAACAACCCCGAGAUGGCAGUGUCUAGACAGACAGACAGACAGAAGGCGGAUAAAAGACCUGCGUGGUAGAUGACGGCGGUCAGUUUACGAACAGCUGUAACAAUCAAAGCCAAAAAAACAGCUGAGUGUCUCACUGAGUCUGGAGGGGAGGACACACUGUCCCUGACACACACACACACACUCAUACAGAGUUUUUCUCACAACAAUAGGUGGCUGAGUUUAAUAUUUUUUUACUAAUAACAUCUGUAAAUUGUUUCAUUCCUCAUUUACCUGCUAUCAAUUACAAAUCAUUAUUUAUUAAAGGAGGACAUGCCAUAAUUUUUGUCAUAGCCUCCUGUUUGGAAAAAAAGAGUUUUUUUAUAUAUAUAUUUUUUUUUCCUCUAUUCUCUGUUUGAGAACUGCUAAUUAAUAAUUAAAGGUCAUUUCACAUAAUGAGCAACCAGAGCAAGAUAAAUUUGUUGUUCAGUAAUUUCUCAAAUGAGCAUUUAUGGAGAUUAGCCACCGGGUUGAAAAAUGGAUAAGCUGCAAAAAAGAAAAGAUAACAUGGUCCACUGAUAAAGUUAAUGAUCAUUAAUGAGUCUAGUAACUACUCAAACCUGCAGCGGUGUUCAUGCAAAAACCCCUCCUUAAAACACUUUUUUAAAGAUGAUUUCAUUUCCAACACACACUGUAUGGACAAAGGUUUGUGGGCACCUAAACCUAGGAUUGGUAUUUGCUUCUUUUCGAACAUCUCAUUCAGUAUUUAGUUCCUCAUUUGCUUUUAUAAUAACCUUCACUCUUCUGGGAAGAUGUUCCACUAGAUUACGGAGAUUUGUAUAUUUGUUUAGCCACAGGUACAGAUGUGGGAGAGGUGAAGUGCCUUAUAGGGUUGAGAUCAGAGCUCUAUAGCAGGAGAUCUUCUACUCCAACUCAUGUAAAGCAGAUCUUCAUGGAGCUAACUUCGUGCACAGUCUCCUGGUUCAUGUGAAGGGAAAUUUUCAUGUUACCGUGUCCACAUUUUUCUGGUGACAGUUUGGGGAAAAACCACAUGGCUGGAACAAUCAGGUGUCCCAAAACUUUGGUCCUUAUAGUUGAAGUGAAAUAGUAUGUUUCACUUACAGAAAUUAGUAAGGACUCGAAUUAGUGAAUAUUGUACUAGUUUUUAAGGACAAAUGCGAAAUG